rnacentral:rRNA from 1 species
UACGUAGGGGGCAAGCGUUGUCCGGAAUUAUUGGGCGUAAAGGGCUCGUAGGCGGUCUGUUGCGUCGGGAGUGAAAACUCAGGGCUUAACCCUGAGCCUGCUUCCGAUACGGGCAGACUAGAGGUAUGCAGGGGAGAACGGAAUUCCUGGUGUAGCGGUGAAAUGCGCAGAAAUCAGGAGGAACACCGGUGGCGAAGGCGGUUCUCUGGGCAUUACCUGACGCUGAGGAGCGAAAGCGUGGGGAGCGAACAGG